UAUCCGUUAUUUAUUUUUAUUGUAAUUGUUUUUAAAACGGAUUUUGUUCAGUUCGUUAUAGUCUUGUAUAUUAUGUAAAUGUCUUGAUCGGAAUUUGUUCGUGUCAUCGUUUGUAAUCUAAAAUUCUUGUUUUUAUUAAUAACAUAAUCUACAAAUCACAAAAACAACAAAAUGACUUCGCCACCAUCAGAUACUGAAUCAAAUCUAAGCGGUUUUAUGCGCUAUAACGAAAAGGAAUUUAAACCUUUGUAUACUUCUAUAAUACAGAAAAUGGAGUUAAUUAAUCAAGAUAUUCUUGAAGUUGAAAAAAAUCUGAAAAAUCUUAU